CGGACGGGUGAGUAAUGUCUGGGAAACUGUCUGAUGGAGGGGGAUAACUACUGGAAACGGUAGCUAAUACCGCAUAACGUCGCAAGACCAAAGAGGGGGACCUUCGGGCCUCUUGCCAUCGGAUGUGCCCAGAUGGGAUUAGCUAGUAGGUGGGGUAAAGGCUCACCUAGGCGACGAUCCCUAGCUGGUCUGAGAGGAUGACCAGCCACACUGGAACUGAGACACGGUCCAG
rnacentral:rRNA from 1 species